GUGGGGAAUAUUGGACAAUGGGCGCAAGCCUGAUCCAGCCAUGCCGCGUGAGUGAUGAAGGCCUUAGGGUUGUAAAGCUCUUUUGUCCGGGAAGAUAAUGACUGUACCGGAAGAAUAAGCCCCGGCUAACUUCGUGCCAGCAGCCGCGGUAAUACGAAGGGGGCUAGCGUUGUUCGGAAUCACUGGGCGUAAAGCGCACGUAGGCGGACCAUUAAGUCAGGGGUGAAAGCCUGGAGCUCAACUACAGAACUGCCUUUGAUACUGAUGGUCUCGAGUAUGGAAGAGGUUGGUGGAACUGCGAGUGUAGAGGUGAAAUUCGUAGAUAUUCGCAAGAACACCGGUGGCGAAGGCGGCCAACUGGUCCAGUACUGACGCUGAGGUGCGAAAGCGUGGGGAGCAAACAGGAUUAGAUACCCGUGUAGUCC
rnacentral:rRNA from 1 species